rnacentral:rRNA from 1 species
GCUCCCUGAUGUUAGCGGCGGACGGGUGAGUAACACGUGGGUAACCUGCCUGUAAGACUGGGAUAACUCCGGGAAACCGGGGCUAAUACCGGAUGGUUGUUUGAACCGCAUGGUUCAGACAUAAAAGGUGGCUUCGGCUACCACUUACAGAUGGACCCGCGGCGCAUUAGCUAGUUGGUGAGGUAACGGCUCACCAAGGCGACGAUGCGUAGCCGACCUGAGAGGGUGAUCGGCCACACUGGGACUGAGACACGGCCCAGACUCCUACGGGAGGCAGCAGUAGGGAAUCUUCCGCAAUGGACGAAAGUCUGACGGAGCAACGCCGCGUGAGUGAUGAAGGUUUUCGGAUCGUAAAGCUCUGUUGUUAGGGAAGAACAAGUGCCGUUCAAAUAGGGCGGCACCUUGACGGUACCUAACCAGAAAGCCACGGCUAACUACGUGCCAGCAGCCGCGGUAAUACGUAGGUGGCAAGCGUUGUCCGGAAUUAUUGGGCGUAAAGGGCUCGCAGGCGGUUUCUUAAGUCUGAUGUGAAAGCCCCCGGCUCAACCGGGGAGGGUCAUUGGAAACUGGGGAACUUGAGUGCAGAAGAGGAGAGUGGAAUUCCACGUGUAGCGGUGAAAUGCGUAGAGAUGUGGAGGAACACCAGUGGCGAAGGCGACUCUCUGGUCUGUAACUGACGCUGAGGAGCGAAAGCGUGGGGAGCGAACAGGAUUAGAUACCCUGGUAGUCCACGCCGUAAACGAUGAGUGCUAAGUGUUAGGGGGUUUCCGCCCCUUAGUGCUGCAGCUA